AGAGUUUGAUCAUGGCUCAGGACGAACGCUGGCGGCGUGCCUAACACAUGCAAGUGGAGCGACGAACCAGGCUUCGGCCUGGGGCAAAGCCGCGAACGGGUGAGUAACACGUGGGUAACCUGCCCUGAUGAUUGGGACAACCCGAGGAAACUCGGGCUAAUACCGAAUGUGCCCUCCGGCCAUAAGGCCGCUGGGGAAAGGAAGCUUCGGCCUCCGCAUCGGGAUGGGCCCGCGGCCCAUUAGCUUGUUGGUGAGGUAACGGCUCACCAAGGCGACGAUGGGUAGCUGGUCUGAGAGGACGAUCAGCCACACUGGGACUGAGACACGGCCCAGACUCCUACGGGAGGCAGCAGUGGGGAAUCUUGCGCAAUGCGCGAAAGCGUGACGCAGCAACGCCGCGUGGGGGAAGAAGGCCUUCGGGUUGUAAACCCCUUUCAGUUGGGACGAAGCUUCGUCGGUGAACAGCCGGCUGGAGUGACGGUACCUUCAGAAGAAGCCCCGGCUAACUACGUGCCAGCAGCCGCGGUAAUACGUAGGGGGCAAGCGUUGUCCGGAAUCAUUGGGCGUAAAGAGCGUGUAGGCGGCUCGGUAAGUCCGCUGUGAAAGUCCAGGGCUCAACCCUGGAAUGCCGGUGGAAACUGUCGAGCUCGAGUCCGGAAGAGGCGAGUGGAAUUCCUGGUGUAGCGGUGAAAUGCGCAGAUAUCAGGAGGAACACCAAUGGCGAAGGCAGCUCGCUGGGACGGUACUGACGCUGAGACGCGAAAGCGUGGGGAGCAAACAGGAUUAGAUACCCCGGUAGUCC
rnacentral:rRNA from 1 species